rnacentral:rRNA from 1 species
UACGUAGGGUGCGAGCGUUAAUCGGAAUUACUGGGCGUAAAGCGUGCGUAGGCGGUUCGUUAAGUUCGUUGUGAAAGCCCCGGGCUCAACCUGGGAAUGGCAAUGGAAACUGGCGGGCUUGAGUAUGGCAGAGGGGGGUGGAAUUCCGCGUGUAGCAGUGAAAUGCGUAGAGAUGCGGAGGAACACCGAUGGCGAAGGCAGCCCCCUGGGUCGACACUGACGCUCAUGCACGAAAGCGUGGGGAGCAAACAGG